rnacentral:lncRNA from 1 species
CAUAGCUACACCCUGCAUCAGGGAAUUUAUUGGGCCAGGUAAAUAAUUCUUUAGUUUAGAUCAAACUCUCCAGAUCUCGGAAAUCAUCAUCAAAAAAUUGGGAAAGUUACGAACACUAACAAAUCCAUGUUGCAAAAAUGAAGGCCAUGUAUCCUAUCCAAUCUGGCACUCCUCUAACCCACCGCUUCAGCUCCAAAUGGUCCCCCGGCCGCCCGGCGUCAUACCGCUACGACGCCGUCGUCUGCCGCCAGACCGUACACGGCCGAACCGCGAGGCCAAUGCAGCAGUUUCUCACGCCCCCGAAUCAAUCCGAUGUUAGUCCUUGGGCUCAUGGCGUGGUGGCCUCCUCCAUAAUGGGGUCAGCAUUCAGAGGGAGGAAUCAAAGACAAUGAAAAAAGAGAGUUGGGGGAUGGAAGGAACGGGAACCUUACGAGCCGAGGGAGGGGAAGUCACGGGAGUCGCGCCAGCCAUGGAGGAUCUGAGGUGACCGCCACUGCCACAAUAGCGCCGCCUCCGCAAACUAUGCUUCCGAUCAUCCACCACAGCGACCGAGGCCAGCCGCCGCUCACCACGCCAUCCCGGCUGCCCCGUUGAGGCGUUGACCAUCACACAGUCGAGCCCAGUCGCCGCCGCUGGAACCGCUCUCAUUAUCUAACCAGAAUAAAAC